rnacentral:rRNA from 1 species
UACGUAGGGUGCAAGCGUUGUCCGGAAUUAUUGGGCGUAAAGAGCUCGUAGGCGGUCUGUCGCGUCUGCUGUGAAAACUCAGGGCUUAACCCUGAGCUUGCAGUGGGUACGGGCAGACUAGAGUGCGGUAGGGGAGACUGGAAUUCCUGGUGUAGCGGUGAAAUGCGCAGAUAUCAGGAGGAACACCGGUGGCGAAGGCGGGUCUCUGGGCCGUAACUGACGCUGAGAUGCGAAAGCGUGGGGAGCGAACGGG